rnacentral:lncRNA from 1 species
AUUAUCUUAAGUCUUAUGAUCACACAUAAUGUUAAAAUUUGUGUAUAUCUCCUCUACUUUAAUCCUUUUAAGUUGGCAAAAGCACUAUUUUCAAUCACAAAUACACAGCAGUUUCAGUUUUAUGUUUCUGAAUGGCUCCUUUAAAGACAAUUCUAAAUUAUAACUUAGUUUGAGUUAGAUCGUAAAGAAUUCAAGAGUGAAGUUUAACUUGCUACUAUUUUAAAAGCAUGUGACUUUAUAGAUCAUCUAUAAAAUGUGAGAAGUGUUAAAUAAUCUUUGACAUUACACAUAAACCACACUAAAAUGCCUUUCAGUAAGUUAAAGAGACCAUUUUAAAUACAGGGAAUUCUAAUUAGAUUGGCAUAGUUAAGGCCAAAAAUAUAAACUAGACAUUGCUCCCUUAUUUAUCUUCCACCCUUACCUUUAAGAGGCAAAUGAACACAAAACACAGGUGAAUCUUGCUUGGUUCUGAGACAAUGAAGGAAUUUCCUCAGUAUUUAAAUAUAUUCACAUAACGAGUUAUAUAAAUCUACAUAUAAAAUCAGUCCUCAUUAAUUUUAAGAUAGCACUCACCAUCUUUGUGAAAAGUUGAACAUUACUAAGGAAGUCUAAUCUUAUCUUUAGAAGGGGUAAACAAUGAUAGCAUUUACUGAAUUGGAAUUACUAUUAAAAUUCAAAAACAACAUAUUCAUUUAACAACAAGCCAGUCUUAGUUUUAAAUCAUGAGUACCCAACAAAAUAUUCUGUCAGUCAUUCAUGAUCUGAAUUCCUGUGUAUGAGAUCUAUUAAAGUAUGGAACACAUAAAAAAGUCAUGAGACAUUUGUUUUGUAAUAAAUAAGGCAGUGGCCAAUCAUUACUCAUUAGUAGCUUUUUUUUAGAUAAGCUAUAAAGUCUGCCCUGUCUGCCUUCUUAAUGCUGGCAAAGAUCAGUUUUCUUCCAGGGAUGUACUUCUUGGGAUUCUCCAAAUCCUCCAUCAGUGAGUGUAUCCUCUCCCCAGGUGAUGCCUUUGUUCUUCUUGGCGUCUGUGUAAGAGAAUCCAAUGGCCCAAAGAGACCAUGGAGAUUAGGCCCAGUCUUGUGCUUGCCUCUCUUUUCCACCGUGUGGCACUGGGCACACUUCUGAACAAAAAUCUUCUUGCCUUUCUCAGCAUCACCCAUAUUUA